rnacentral:tRNA from 1 species
GGUAUAGCUCAAGUGGUAGAGCGCAUGCUUAGCAUGUACAGGGUCCUGGGUUCAAUCCCCAGUACC